rnacentral:rRNA from 1 species
GACGAACGCUGGCGGCGUGCUUAACACAUGCAAGUCGAACGGAAAGGCCCUGCUUUUGUGGGGUGCUCGAGUGGCGAACGGGUGAGUAACACGUGAGUAACCUGCCCUUGACUUUGGGAUAACUUCAGGAAACUGGGGCUAAUACCGGAUAGGAGCUCCUGCUGCAUGGUGGGGGUUGGAAAGUUUCGGCGGUUGGGGAUGGACUCGCGGCCUAUCAGCUUGUUGGUGGGGUAGUGGCUUACCAAGGCUUUGACGGGUAGCCGGCCUGAGAGGGUGACCGGCCACAUUGGGACUGAGAUACGGCCCAGACUCCUACGGGAGGCAGCAGUGGGGAAUAUUGCACAAUGGGCGGAAGCCUGAUGCAGCAACGCCGCGUGCGGGAUGACGGCCUUCGGGUUGUAAACCGCUUUCGCCUGUGACGAAGCGUGAGUGACGGUAAUGGGUAAAGAAGCACCGGCUAACUAUGUG